rnacentral:rRNA from 1 species
UACGUAGGGACCAAGCGUUGUUCGGAUUUACUGGGCGUAAAGGGCGCGUAGGCGGCGCAAUAAGUCACUUGUGAAAUCUCCGGGCUUAACUCGGAGCGGCCAAGUGAUACUGUUGUGCUAGAGUGCAGAAAGGGCAAUCGGAAUUCUCGGUGUAGCGGUGAAAUGCGUAGAUAUCGAGAGGAACACCUGCGGCGAAGGCGGGUUGCUGGGCCGACACUGACGCUGAUGCGCGAAAGCCAGGGGAGCGAACGGG